rnacentral:lncRNA from 1 species
UGAAUUUUUAUUGUGGAAGAGAAUCCUGUUGCCUGUUACUAGCAAAAUCAUAUAAUUAGCUACAUGAGUGGAAUUAUAACGGAUGAUGGUGUCAGCCAACAGCACCUGCUCACUGUCAUGCUGCGUGCAGCCUCCUGUCUGUGCCCACGAGGUCUGAGGAGGCUGAAGAACUGGGACAAAACCCUUGCUCAACAGGAACUGCUGUUAGCUCUCAUGAGAAGACCUUCAGCUAGAAGAGGAUGAGACAGGGAAUAAGAAGGAGCAGCACAAAAAGGACAAAAAUCCAUCUGCUGUUCUAGAAAAGAUGAUAAAAGAAAAUCAAAUUCUAAGAAAAGAAGAUGCACCAUUGAAACAGAUGGUCCUGGCAGCAUUCAGUUUGGGGCAUUGUCAGAUAGAUGCCCAAGGAAGGCAAUGGGAAGUCUGUGCCUCCAGCGCGCUGAUGGAAGGAGCAGGUUUCAUUUGUCUGGUGUUCUGGCCCCUUGAAGUAGGGUCAUGA